rnacentral:lncRNA from 1 species
AUGUAACUAAGUUCCUUUUCAGGACUCACAUAGGGAAGUAAGAAAUGGAUCUGGGUUGUUGUUGCGUAUAAGUGGAUCUUGUAAAACUUGCGUUCACCUCUAUGAAUGCAUGUAUAUGUAGAUCGCCGACAUAAAAAUUAUAGUAGAUCUGGUUGAAACUUUCAAAUCUCUCCCCCCAAUCUGUUGGUUUUACCUUUUUGUCGUAAGCGAGAUGGAGAAAUAAUUGCCCUAGAAAUGUGUGCCCUAGUCUGCCAAUUCUCCAGUUCUCAGAUGAGGAAAGCUCAAACAGAGAUCUGUAUCUAAUUAAUUACAUGUUUACAAUCUAGUGUCACAUUAUAAUACUUCUUCAUACAUAUCCGGAUUGGGUC